rnacentral:rRNA from 1 species
GACGAAGGGGGCUAGCGUUGUUCGGAAUUACUGGGCGUAAAGCGCGUGUAGGCGGUUGCCCAAGUCGGGUGUGAAAGCCUUGAGCUCAACUCAAGAAAUGCACUCGGUACUGGGUGACUAGAGGACCGGAGAGGAUAGUGGAAUUCCCAGUGUAGUGGUGAAAUACGUAGAGAUUGGGAAGAACACCAGUGGCGAAGGCGGUUCUCUGGGACGGUACUGACGCUGAGACGCGAAAGCGUGGGGAGCGAACAGG